CGUGUGGAUGCGUUUCCAACUCGCUUGAUCCGCACGAGAUCCUUUUCUCAAUUUAACCUUUAAAAAUAACUGGAGCAAGUUAUAUGUUGAUGUUUAUUAAUGUAGCUUUAAGUGCUUAGAACACUGUCUUGUCUUCAUUAUAGCCUGGAACAAUUGCUUCAAGCCCAAUGACAAGCAGAAAGGUGGUUCUAACACUGAAGAUGGAUAAAGUUAAAGAAAAGCGAGCAGAUUUUCCCCCUAAAUUGCGAGCUGGAAACUGGCACUGCUUCCUCCCCUUAUCUCUCUGCUUGUCUGUGUUCAAGCUCCUGUUGCCAUUCCAGCUUCGAAGAACAUAAUGCAGCAAAGCAUUCAGUAAAACCAGAGCCUGAAGGAAAUAUCAGGUGUUAACAUCCAAUAAAAUGCUAACACGCCUGAAUGAACUAGAAUUGCGAGGUACCUCUUACAUGGCCCGAGCAAGAACUGACCUAAUGCAGCAUUUUUAUGAUGGUGGCAGAAACGUUGCUUUUCCUGGCUGACUCGCCCCUCAUCCUGCCACGAGCAGAAACUUCCCUGAAGUGGCUGCUUUCAAGCGCUGUGCAACAUGCUCCCAGGAUCUUCUGAAGGUGAUGGGAUUGUCUCUUCACCCGUUUCAUUCACCACAGCUCUUUCUUUGGCUUUGCUUGUCUCUAGAUUUUCAGCUUCAGCUGAAUGAUUUGGUUUAUCUUCAGCCCAGGUGUAUGUGGCUGGUGGUUAAUGCAGAAUCUGUUUCUGUGCCCCCGCGAGAUGAAUCUCCAGGAGUGUUACAGCACUUAACGCAUUAUAGGAAAUCUCUUGUGCAGGCCAAAAAAGGCCUUCUGGGGAGAAGAUUGCCCCCUUCUAUCCAUCUGAUGGGCAGCUUGACUCCUUUUCAGGGUCUUGUGCGCAUGAAUCCCCGCGCUCCUACAAUUCGGGCCUGGCAGUGCUGUCGCUUCAGUUCUCAGCUGCAAAAAAAGAAGAGGUCUGGUUUUCCAGGAGGCUGCAGUCCAGAAUCGCUCUUUCUCCUGCUGCAGGUGCAGAGCUGAUGCUUCUUUCACCAAUAACCUGACAUGAAGGUGUUGGGCAUCUCCACAUACAAGUGCUUCUGAGCAGCCUUGUGACUGCUUUGCAAAUGUGCUUCACUGGCUGGAGUCUUAAAUGUUUCUAGGAGACAGACAGAGGUAGUAGGUAAAAUGGAAAAUUGUAGCCUAGGAUGGUGGUAUAUCAGGCCAACUGAAAUAAUUAUAUCCUCCCGGUCCCAUAAUACGACACUAAUUCAAGAGCUGCCUGACUAAAGACAGCGAGAACGGGGCCCUAUUGUUCUACGAGUGAGUUGAAAGUCGUCUAUUUUUUCCUUUACAGGAAGUUUUUGAGGGGAGGAGGAGAGAAAGAAUGUUCUUUACACUUUCUUCAAUACCUUUUUUUAUUGGUGGUUUUGUUUUCUGCAACUGCCUUUGUUGAAAAAAAGAAAUCAUUCUUCACUUAUAAAAAUUAUUUUUAAUUUUCAAAAAAAAACCCUUUUGCUUAAAAGCCAGCUCUCCUUUUUUAAAAAAAAAAAAAAGAAAAAAGGCUUUAAUGCAAAAAAUAGCCCUUCAGUUUAUUGGGUUUUAUUGAAAAAACAGAAAAUUUCAACCAAUUUUCAUUUUAGAUGAAAAGCUAUUUCUCAUUUGGAAAAAAUGUUCUGAUGGGAAAAAUUCAAGCGGCUCUAGUUCCAAUCUUUCUCUGAGAGCUGUAUGUGGGUGGAUUCCCCAAGCCACGUGGAGCUCAUUACAAGAUCAGACACUCCGUUUGUAACUUAAUUAAGUGACUGAAUACAUUAUUCAGACAAGUGCAUUGUCAGAAGUAAGCUUAAGUUAGUAACAUGUUUUCUGUAGUCAUAAUGCUCUAGGACUGUUAUGAAAAAGGAGGGAGAUGCCAGUUUGCAUUACUUAAGCAGGCCAAGCUGCAGAUGUCGGGUUAUUUGGUCCUCAUUUGGCUCCAUUUGGGAGUCCAGGUUAGCUGCAGUGAAGACACACCCGGAGUGUAUAAAUCUGGCAUUUAGGCACAGCUCCGCUUAAUGCCUUAAACAUGUUAAGGUUGUUCUCGGGAGCGCAUUGUAUGUGAUGGCAGGUUCGGGGAGAGCUGUAUUUACUUUGGAAGGGUGAUGAGCUUUUGUCAAAAAUACUUAUUGUUGCUGUGAGCCUGAAAUACCUUUGCAAGUGGAAAAUAGAGAUGUCUCCAUGAAGUCUAUUAUGAUAAACCCUGGGCAGUUGCCCCAGUGGCCGGAGAGCACAUCCUCAGGAAGCCUUGAUGUCUUAUCUCCUGGAGAACAUAAGAGAAAAAAAAAGGGGGAAAAAAAAGAAAAAAACCCUCCAUUUUGGUUUUAUUACAAAUGUCCUGGCCAGGGAGACUUUGCUUGUGAGUGCCGUCUGCGGUGGGCUGCACGGUGGCCCCAGCCUGCGGCAGGCUGAUGCCCCAGCCCCACUCUCUGCACCCUCGGUGCAGGCAGCGAGCGCGUCUCAUCGCUUGGUCUCCUGCAGCGCGCUUGGCCGGGGGCUGUUGCGGUGACAGCAUCGCUCCUCAAAGCUACUCCCUUGGCCGGGGCCCGGGCUGGGGCUGGGAGCCGCGC